UGGUGAAAUUGGUAGACACGCUGCUCUUAGGAAGCAGUGCUCAAGCAUCUCGGUUCGAAUCCGAGUGGCGGCA
rnacentral:tRNA from 1 species